CCAGCUCCAAUAGCGUAUAUUUAAGUUGUUGCAGUUAAAAAGCUCGUAGUUGGAUUUCGGAUGGAUCUCUGCGGUCCGGCUCUGCUGUGUACUGCUGCGGCCUAUCUUUCUGCCGGGGACGGGCUCCUGGGCUUAACUGUUCGGGACUCGGAGUCGGCGAUGUUACUUUGAGUAAAUUAGAGUGUUCAAAGCAAGCCUACGCUCUGAAUACAUUAGCAUGGAAUAACACGAUAGGACUCUGGCCUAUCUUGUUGGUCUGUAGGACCGGAGUAAUGAUUAAGAGGGACAGUCGGGGGCAUUCGUAUUUCAUUGUCAGAGGUGAAAUUCUUGGAUUUAUGAAAGACGAACUUCUGCGAAAGCAUUUGCCAAGGAUGUUUUCA
rnacentral:rRNA from 1 species